CAAAAACAUGUCCUUUUGUUCUAAAUAUAAGGUCUAACCUGCCCAAUGAUUUAUUUAAUGGCCGCGGUAUAUUAACUGUGCUAAGGUAGCAUAAUCAUUUGUCUUUUAAUUAAGGGCUAGAAUGAAUGGUUGGACGAAAUAUAUUCUUUCUUUAAUUUAAUUUAUGAAUUUAAUUUUUUAGUUAAAAAGCUAAAAUUUAUUUAAGGGACGAGAAGACCCUAUAGAUCUUUAUAUUUAUAACUAUUAUAUAUAUUAGUAAUUAUAAAUUAUUUUAAUAAUUAUUAUUAUUUGGCUGGGGUGGUUGUAGAAUUUUAAUAACUUCUAUUUUAUUUAACAUUAAUAUAUGUUUAAUUGAUCCAAUUUUAUUGAUUAAAAGAUUAAGUUACCUUAGGGAUAACAGCGUAAUUUUUUUGGAGAGUUCAUAUCGAUAAAAAAGUUUGCGACCUCGAUGUUGGAUUAAAAUAAGUUUUAGGUGCAGAAGUCUAAAAACUAGGUCUGUUCGACCUUUAAUUUUUUACAUGAUCUGAGUUCA
rnacentral:rRNA from 1 species